AAGAAUAAUUAAUUACAAUAGAAAAGUAUAAUUUGAUUUAAACUCACAUGUUGAAAAAAGUAGAAUACCAAUGAGUAUCAAAACUGUUUU